rnacentral:rRNA from 1 species
UACGAAGGUGUCGAACGUUGUCCGGAAUAACUGGGCGUAAAGGGCGCGUAGGCGGUCGGGUAAGUGAGAUGUGAAAGCUCUGGGCUCAACCCAGGAAUUGCAUUUCAUACUGCUCGACUUGAGUUCGGUAGAGGAGGGCGGAAUUCCAGGUGUAGCGGUGAAAUGCGUAGAUAUCUGGAGGAACACCGGUGGCGAAGGCGGCGUUCUGGACUGCAACUGACACUGAGGAACGAAAGCCAGGGGAGCAAACGGG